GGGCCGGUAGUUCAGAGGUAGAAUACUUCGUUGUGGUGCGGUUUCCGAUCCUCCAAUUCCGAAGAGACCCGUGUUCGAUUCACGGCCGACCCA